GGGCAAGUCUCGCACGGCCAGCUCCCUCCGAAGGCCGUCAGGACCGGAAGGUAGCAGCGGUACGAGGUCGCAGCGGCGCGAUGCGAGUCGCUUGCCCUUC
rnacentral:SRP_RNA from 1 species